rnacentral:rRNA from 1 species
CGCGGCCUAUCAGCUUGUUGGUGAGGUAACGGCUCACCAAGGCGACGACGGGUAACCGGCCUGAGAGGGUGACCGGUCACACUGGGACUGAGACACGGCCCAGACUCCUACGGGAGGCAGCAGUGGGGAAUAUUGCACAAUGGGCGCAAGCCUGAUGCAGCAACGCCGCGUGAGGGAUGACGGCCUUCGGGUUGUAAACCUCUUUUAGCAGGGAAGAAGCGAAAGUGACGGUACCUGCAGAAAAAGCACCGGCUAACUACGUGCCAGCAGCCGCGGUAAUACGUAGGGUGCAAGCGUUGUCCGGAAUUAUUGGGCGUAAAGAGCUCGUAGGUGGUUUGUCACGUCUGCUGUGAAAAUCCAAGGCUUAACCUUGGACUUGCAGUGGGUACGGGCAGGCUAGAGUGCGGUAGGGGAGAUGGGAAUUCCUGGUGUAGCGGUGGAAUGCGCAGAUAUCAGGAGGAACACCAAUGGCGAAGGCACAUCUCUGGGCCGUAACUGACGCUGAGGAGCGAAAGCGUGGGGAGCGAACAGGAUUAGAUACCCUGGUAGUCCACGCCGUAAACGUUGGGCACUAGGUGUGGGGUCUUCUAACGGAUUCCGUGCCGUAGCUAACGCAUUAAGUGCCCCGCCUGGGGAGUACGG